UAGGAAAGAAAAAUUGAUGUUACC
rnacentral:piRNA from 1 species